rnacentral:rRNA from 1 species
GUGUCAGCAGCCGCGGUAAUACGAAGGUGGCAAGCGUUGUUCGGAUUUACUGGGCGUACAGGGAGCGUAGGCGGUUGGAUAAGCCCUCCGUGAAAUCUCCAGGCUUAACCUGGAAAGUGCAGAGGGGACUGUUCAGCUAGAGGAUGGGAGAGGAGCGCGGAAUUCCCGGUGUAGCGGUGAAAUGCGUAGAGAUCGGGAGGAAGGCCGGUGGCGAAGGCGGCGCUCUGGAACAUUUCUGACGCUGAGGCUCGAAAGCGUGGGGAGCAAACAGGAUUAGAAACCCCCGUAGUCC